UACGUAGGUGGCAAGCGUUGUCCGGAAUUAUUGGGCGUAAAGCGCGCGCAGGCGGUCCUUUAAGUCUGAUGUGAAAGCCCACGGCUCAACCGUGGAAGGUCAUUGGAAACUGGGGGGACUUGAGUACAGAAGAGAAGAGUGGAAUUCCACGUGUAGCGGUGAAAUGCGUAGAGAUGUGGAGGAACACCAGUGGCGAAGGCGACCUGCUGGGCAGUUGCUGACACUGAGGCGCGACAGCGUGGGGAGCAAACAGG
rnacentral:rRNA from 1 species